AUGGAAAAAAUUAGAAUACUCGCGUCUAUGUACUUGGUAUUAUGCUAUGGAUUUAUGAAUAUGGAAAUUGUUAGUGACAUAGUGGUGAUCCCUUUUACAACUGCCUGAAUUCAUAAUUGGCUCAUGUUUGAAUAAGGGUUAAUAACACAGAACAGUAAGAACAAAAUAGAAGUGCGAUGUGGGCGUGGCCCACGUGUCACUAGUAAGCCCGGCAUUCACUACACGCACCGCGAGCCGAGCCCCGAGCCGUACCAAUCCGUGGACAAAUCCGUCAUCGCCCACACACUACACGUCUAUCACUAUCCGUCUCCAGACGGCGAGCGCCGCGCCGAGCCGCGAGCCGCGCCCAACUACACAUACACACGCAGAUUGGUCCGCGGACUUGUAGCCAGCUACAAAUCCAGCGGAUGGGUGCGCCUGUGAAUGGUACCCAUAAGAUUAAAAUAUGUAA